CACACGCUCAGUCCAAAGUUCGACAUUUGUUUGUUUACAAUUAUUGAGAGUGCAAACUUAUUGCUGUUCAGCUGACCCAUACUGCUUUUGACUUAUCACUACACUGUCUUUACAUAUUAUAACAAUAUUAUUUGUAAAUAUUAUGUUUUGAGCAACCCAAUAUUGGGAUGGAAUUAGUCAAAGUACUAUUAAUGGGCUUAUAUUUGUGUCUGAUGAAUUAAGUCAAAAACUAGUGAACUGAAAAUGAUGUAUAUUUAUGUUGACACAACAAUUAGAAAUCAUGAAAAUUGCUAUUGUGUGAAUAUAAGACAAUCUGAUUAAGAACAUUCAUAAAAAGAUAAUGUGAGAUUGUUCCUCUUUUAUCUUCAAGAAUGUGGUGUAUAGUGCGUAAUUCAAAAGUUAGAGCAUUUUACGGACUGUUCAUCUAAUAGAAUAAUGGUCUUAAAUAUACCCAUAUAAUAUAAUAUUUCCACACUAAAUCAUAUGGACUUGGUACUUUAUAUAAACAAAUAUAACAAGGUUUAUAUGUAUAUAACAAUGUAUCUUAUCAAUCAAUAUUAUUAGUAUAAAUCUAAUAAAGAGAAAGUAUUGCUUGAGCUUUACCACUUAUGUCCAGUUUAGUAUGCCUGACGUACACAAUUGCUUUUGCAUUUUUUUUAAAUUUAAUACAUAAAUUAAUUUAUUAAAGCUAUUGAACAAGUAUUAGCUGACAUAUGUUUCCAAGUACCCAAUUGGCUGUCACAAUAUUUCUUAACAAAUAAUAAUAAUAGAUAAAUUGUAAUCCAUUGAUACUUCUGAUAUUAUUUAUUUCCUGGAAGCUUACAAUGAGCUUUGUUAAAAUCAGUUCUCCAGCAUCUUACUAAAUUCUCUGGUUUCUAAAUUUAAUCACAUUUUCAUACCAUGAUCUCCUAAAAACUGAAAGACAUUGGAAUUGCAAGACCAAACAAAGGAACAAUAAUUUCAUGUGUGAUCUCGGUUUAAGUUUUGUUCAAUUUAUAUUAUACAAAUAAUUUAAAUAUAUAAAUUUAACUAAUUUGGUACUAUGUUUGUUCACAUUUUUAAAAUUCUGGUUGAUUUUAGUUUUACUAAUAAUUCAAGUUGAAAAGAAUGGGGUAAGUAUAAUUCAUUUACAAUUUUUUCUUAAAAAAAAAGGCUAAUAUUCAAUCAAUCAAGUUGUUAAUAAUAUGUUAUUGUUAUAACUUAUUCAAUUAGUAAGAAAUUAUUUUAUUUUACAGAAAACCCUUCCAUUGUAAUGUGCCUAGAAUUGAACAUGAUAACAUGAAGAUUUUUAAAUAGAAGGAAAACCCAAACGAGUUUUCAUGGAAGAUGUGGAUGUGAGGACGCCUAAACCCUUAUUUGGGUGUGUGCAGACAAUAGAUUUGAAAGCAGGUACAACUUGACUUCCUCACUUGCCAAACAAGUUUGCAAAGAAGAGCCCCAGUUGAACAUUGUCUGUUGACACAUCCAUAUCUAUCUCGAUACUGUCAACCUGUAUUGAAUAAAAAAUGUUCUUAGUAAUAAUUUUACGUGGAUAUUAUUAACAUAUUAUGUAUAUGAAAAAUAACUAUUUUAAUUGCAUAACACCAUGAACCAAAAUAUACUUCAUGAAGAAAUAUUUUAAUUCAUUGGAAGCUUGUUAAAAAUAAAAUACAACAUUUUCACCUAUUACACUUUGUACCUCAUAAAUAAAUUGAAUACAUUUUAUAAUAAACACAGUCUGAUAUCUAAAUCUUCUAGAUUUAACUUCUAUUAAGUAAUAUAAAAACGACAUAAUACGCAAUAUGUUUAUGUGUUAAUACAUUCAAUCGAUGCAUGUUUUUGGGUGAUAUUCAGAAACGAAACUGUUCCCGUGUUU